AGAGAGAGAGAGAGAGAGAGAGAGAGAGAGAGAGAAAACCCCAUCACCACCCCAUGACAGACCUUUCCCCUGUCCCAUCACCCCAUCGUACAUGCAUUACCCCCAACAAAACACUAAUAUUGAUGACGGCUUGUAUCUAUUUCAGUCUAACACUGCGCCACUUCAAUGAGGUGGUCAGGUGGCAAUGCUCAGGAGUCGAGAAUGUUUCGAAUCCCCUUGUUGUAGUGCGCGAGACUUCGAGAUGCACGCAGGAUGGCGACAAGGGGCUCCAGUUACUAGUGAACACCCCCGCGACCACACACCUCAGCCAGGAAAGAAAGUAUCAGGGAAAAAGGCAACAGGAAGAAAAGUAACGAAAUUAAAAGUUUACAAAAUGUAACAAGAAAAUAAAUGCUUUGACUUUAUUUCCUAGCCAAAAUUGUUUUUUUUUUCCAUUAUUUUUUCCCUGAUGCUUUCUUCCCGAUCGCCACCUCAGCCACCUCGCUUGCCACGCCUCUACAACCACACUCUGACCGCCAUAUGUAUGGCGGCAAUUGCAGCAGAAGCAGAAGGGGAGGGGACGGCGGUAGCGGUCUUGCUCCUCCUGAAGACGCUGUUAGCAGAGGGCCUCAUUGCGCAGAUUAAGGAGCGAGAGAGCGGUAAAGGGGGCCACGCAGCACAUCACUGAGGCACAUUAUGAAAGUGGAAAUGUGGCGGUGGUGGGUUAGUGGCCCUAGGGAACCGGGAAAAGGAUGAACGCUACCGCCCUGAUUCUCUGCUCUGAUAAAGG